rnacentral:rRNA from 1 species
UACAGAGGGUGCGAGCGUUAAUCGGAAUUACUGGGCGUAAAGCGUGCGUAGGUGGUUAAUUAAGUCAGAUGUGAAAGCCCUGGGCUCAACCUGGGAGUUGCAUUUGAUACUGGUUAACUAGAGUAUAGUAGAGGGAAGUGGAAUUUCCGGUGUAGCGGUGAAAUGCGUAGAUAUCGGAAGGAACAUCAGUGGCGAAGGCGGCUUCCUGGACUAUUACUGACACUGAGGUACGAAAGCGGGGGUAGCAAACAGG